rnacentral:tRNA from 1 species
GUCCCCGUACCUCAGCAGGAUAGAGGGUCCGCCUCCUAAGCGGAACGCCGCGCGUUCGAAUCGCGCCGGGGACG